GAGCAAAAGAAACUAACAAGGAUUCCCUUAGUAACGGCGAGUGAACCGGGAAGAGCUCAAAUUUGAAAUCUGGCAGUCUUCGAUUGUCCGAGUUGUAAUCUAUAGAAGUGUUUUCCGUGCUGGACCGUGUCUAAGUCCCUUGGAACAGGGUAUCAAAGAGGGUGACAAUCCCGUGCUUGAUACGACCACCAGUGCUCUGUGAUACACUCUCUACGAGUCGAGUUGUUUGGGAAUGCAGCUCAAAAUGGGUGGUAAAUUCCAUCUAAAGCUAAAUAUUGGCGAGAGACCGAUAGCGAACAAGUACCGUGAGGGAAAGAUGAAAAGCACUUUGGAAAGAGAGUUAAACAGUACGUGAAAUUGUUGAAAGGGAAACGAUUGAAGUCAGUCGUGUUCAUUGGACUCAGCUAGUUCUUCUAGUCUACUUCCUUUGAACGGGUCAACAUCAGUUUUGUCCGGUGGAUAAAGAUAGUUUCAAUGUAGCUUCUGCGGAAGUGUUAUAGGUUUCUAUCACAUACACUGGAGGAGACUGAGGACUGCAGCUCGCCUUUUGGCCGGGGUUCGCCCACGUUCGAGCUUAGGAUGUUGACAUAAUGGCUUUAAACGACCCGUCU
rnacentral:rRNA from 1 species